rnacentral:snoRNA from 1 species
AUCCACUGAUGACCAAGAUUAAAAUUUACAAACUAGAGUUUCUGAAUAAUUUUUGUGAUUAGAAACUAAUCGCUUUCUCUGAGGU